rnacentral:lncRNA from 1 species
UUCGGACUACUCCCUUCUCAAACGCACGGUAGCAGACGUCACCCACGUUUUUCAAUGCACAUACCACAGUUUAACGACUUAACGACUAAAACGACUACGAAAACUCUGGAACCAAUGUUUUUAAUUUUAAAAGAAGUGUAAUGGAGAAAAUAGUACAACCAGGGCCGUCCUGUGAAAAUUUGGAGUGUGCUUUUCAGUUAGGGAGAUUACGCAUACAUUGGAAAGGCAACUACAAUAUGGAAAUUGACAUGAUGGAUGGUGCUGACGGAGGCAUCAUGCAAGGUUCGAUGAAAUAUUUCUUGGGGAGAACUGUGGAAACCGAUGAAGAUUACAAAGAGAAUACUUUCUACACCUGUGUCCCAACCACAUGGAUAUCUAAAUGCAAGCAGUUGAUGUUGUAUCUACCAGUGGGGCUCCAUUGUGUUAGUGGCGUAAACAUUGAACCUCCAAAAUGGAGAAGCAAUGUGUUUAAAAGGUUCCGUUUCCCCACUCCCGAUUGGCUUGAAUACGAUAUUGUACACAUCCACAACCUUCACAAACCAGGAAGUCACGACCGAGUUCAUAAAUCAGCCGCUGCUGCCAUGAAAGGCUAAAAAAAUUUUGAAGAUAUAUUGAAAUCCGACAACGACGUUUCUUUAGGAAGAGGGGCUCGCCUAAAAAUUAAGAAAAAUUUCGACAUUCCAGAAGCUAAUGAUAAACCAAAAAAGAAGAACAAGACUGAUGGAACAGAAAAUGAAACAAGUUUGUCAAUAAAUAGGACGAUGGAUCCUUUUUCGAGGAAGGUUGUUCCAGAAAAUCAGAAUGCUGAAAUUGUCUGUGCUAGUUACAAUGCCGUACAUGCCGAUGACAUUACGAUUGAUAAAGAAGCAAUGGUCAAUCACGACGCAGUUUUCCCUUUGCUAGAAGAUGACUGGAAUUUAGUAAAUAGUGAUUACCGGGGCCGCAGUGUUACUCCUGUUGACCCAACUGAUUGGGUGGGCCCGAUUAGUCCACGACAAAAAACACACUCCUGGAUAUGGAUACUCUAAAGCUUAUCGCAUCUGAUUCCGUUCAACAAGGCAGCACUGAUCGUACACUUAUGCUAUGUGUGCUAGAAUGCUUACAACGGAUUGCAGGAAUGCAGAAAACAAUGGAUGGCAUAGAAACAAAGUUGUCUGAAAAGUUCCAGUCUAUUAUUGAGAAGAUGUGUGAGCUUGAGAACAAAAUUAAAGAGGGGCGAAAGUUAGACGUCUUUAAGAUGGCCAAAGAAGAUUUCAGUCACCAUAAAUGUGUAGUAGAGUCCCACUUAAAGGAGUUGCCAGUAAAGUCAUCACAUGCCGUGGAGGCUUUAAAUGUUGCUUUGCGGGAUGAGAAGCUCUCCGUUAGCCUGGUUUUUUUAUUCAUACAAAAAUUUCAAACAGCAAAGACAGUUAACUCAUUUCUAAGGCUAAUGUUUUCCUACUUAAUUGCUGAUUCAACUAGCAAUUCAAUGCAAUAGAAAAUGUGCCCAAGGGGAAAAGACGGUCGACCUGGAUUAGCUGGAUUGUAUCACCUCCUGGCAGUUUUUGGAGUUUCUGUUAGCCAUUUCGCAAAGAAGAAGGGGUGUGAAGUUGUCAAAGUAGCAAGACCUCAACAACUGGUUCGGGAUGCUAGAAAAGUGAACUCAAGAGUAUAUCGGGCAAACAACCCUAAUGAAGAUCUCAAUAAUGACGAUGAUGGCAUUGUCCCUGAUACUACCCUUAAUGCAAUUCAAGAUUCUGAUGGUGUCCUUACACAAGAACACAUUGAUCAACUAAAUGCAGCCGUAAACAAAUUUUCCCUUUGAUUUUUUUUCCUUAGUCAUCUAUUGCAGGCCCCAUUAUGCGUUUAAUUUAUUAUAUUUCAUUGGAUAAAUGCAAUUGUGCUUUAGUUAAAUUGUUUCAUUUUCAUCUGUUGACGCCUGAAAUAAAAUGACAGUAAACAAAUUCAA